GAUGAACGCUAGCGGCAUGCCUAACACAUGCAAGUCGAACGAGACCUUCGGGUCUAGUGGCGCACGGGUGCGUAACGCGUGGGAAUCUACCCUUGGGUUCGGAAUAACAGUUAGAAAUGACUGCUAAUACCGGAUGAUGACGUAAGUCCAAAGAUUUAUCGCCCAAGGAUGAGCCCGCGUAAGAUUAGCUUGUUGGUGGGGUAAUGGCCUACCAAGGCGACGAUCUUUAGCUGGUCUGAGAGGAUGAUCAGCCACACUGGGACUGAGACACGGCCCAGACUCCUACGGGAGGCAGCAGUGGGGAAUAUUGGACAAUGGGCGAAAGCCUGAUCCAGCAAUGCCGCGUGAGUGAUGAAGGCCUUAGGGUUGUAAAGCUCUUUUACCAGGGAUGAUAAUGACAGUACCUGGAGAAUAAGCUCCGGCUAACUCCGUGCCAGCCGCCGCAGUAA
rnacentral:rRNA from 1 species